AGAUUUCAAGUAUGUUAGCAGCAGUAAUUAGGGAUGUUUUCCUCUAAGGAAAAUUAAAGUUAUAAAAUUAUUAUUUGUUAAAAAUGAUUCCUGCUACUUCAAAUUUAUCCUUAAAUGUAGAGGAUUAACAAUGAACAACUUGAAGUAACUUGGUUGUCACCUCAGAAGUUUAGUUUAUCACCGAUUUAAUGAAGAUGGGCAAGAAGAGGAAGGCUUUAUGAUAAUGAGGAGAAUGCCAGGUGACCAAGCUGUCACUGUAGGAAUCAGAAUGGACAUUAUCAUCCGUAGUGAGAAUGGCAAAUGGAUAAUCAACAUCAGCCCAAUUGCCAGACUGAAACAUCAUUAUGACAGACUUCAUUUGCAAGAAUUCUUAAAAUGGAGAAGCUGAAGAAUAAA
rnacentral:sRNA from 1 species